CACCGCGGCGGGCGGCACCGGCCAGGCCUCGUCCCCAGCGGCGAUGCGGGGUGGUUGGCUCCACGGCCACGAUCCCAGCAGCGGCAGCACUCGCUCCUUCUCUGCCCCUCUCCCAUUGCUGGAGGUUUUGUCUUUGUUUAGAAUAGCCUUUGUUUAGGAUACCGAUCCUCACGGUGGUGCGGGAGCUUUCCCACGUGUUAUUUUAGGGAUGCUGCGGUCCAUGGUUCUUGCUCAAGGGAAGAUCUCCCACAUACCUACAUCCUCUACAGGUUUCCUAGGCCAGGUCACAACAGAAGCACAAAAUGAGCAAAACCAGUGGUGAAAAUAUUGUCUGGGUUGAUAAAAGAAGUUCUACCAUGCAUCA
ensembl:lncRNA